rnacentral:ncRNA from 1 species
GGGCGACGGGUGCUUUUAUUAGACCAAGAUCAAUCGGGCUUCGGUCCGUUUUGUGUGGUGACUCUGGAUAACUUUGUGCUGAUCGCACGGCCACGAGCCGGCGACGUUUCUUUCAAGUGUCUGCCUUAUCAACUGUCGAUGGUAGGUUAUGCGCCUACCAUGGUUGUUACGGGUAACGGAGAAUCAGGGUUCGAUUCCGGAGAGGGAGCCUGAGAAACGGCUACCACAUCCAAGGAAGGCAGCAGGCGCGCAAAUUACCCACUCCCGGCACGGGGAGGUAGUGACGAAAAAUAACAAUACGGGACUCUUUUGAGGCCCCGUAAUUGAAAUGAGUACACUCUAAAUCCUUUAACGAGGAUCCAUUGGAGGGCAAGUCUGGUGCCAGCAGCCGCGGUAAUUCCAGCUCCAAUAGCGUAUACUAAAGUUGCUGCGGUUAAAAAGCUCGUAGUUGGAUCUCAGUUACAGGCGGGAAGUGCGUGGACACCACGUUACGGCCCGUGCUGAACAUCAUGCCUGUCGUGGCUUGGUUCCCUUCAUCAGGUGCCUUGCUUUGGCCGGCGCGUUUACUUUGAAAAAAUUAGAGUGCUCAACGCAGGCGAUUCGCCUGAAUAACAGUGCAUGGAAUAAUAGAACAAGAUCCUGUUUCUGUUCUGUUGGUUUUUGGAAUACAGGAUAAUGAUUAAGAGGGACAGACGGGGGCAUUCGUAUUGCGGCGCUAGAGGUGAAAUUCUUGGACCGUCGCAAGACGAACUACUGCGAAAGCAUUUGCCAAGAAUGUUUUCAUUGAUCAAGAACGAAAGUUAGAGGUUCGAAGGCGAUCAGAUACCGCCCUAGUUCUAACCAUAAACGAUGCCAACCAGCGAUCCGCCUGAGUUACUCAAAUGACUCGGCGGGCAGCUUCCGGGAAACCAAAGUAUUUGGGUUCCGGGGGAAGUAUGGUUGCAAAGCUGAAACUUAAAGGAAUUGACGGAAGGGCACCACCAGGAGUGGAGCCUGCGGCUUAAUUGACUCAACACGGGAAAACU